UGUAAAUACAACCAUUAGUUUUCACGCUUAAUUUUGAUCAUUCGUCUUAUUUAAAUUUUUUUAUAAUUAGUAUUUUUUAUUGUUACGAGAUGAUAAAAUAUAAAUAGCACUUUAUAUGUUAUUUAUUUUUUUAAUUUUUUAAAAAAUAUUUAAAUAAGAUGGACGAUUAAAAUUGUGCAAGAAAAAUUACGACUGAACUUGAA
rfam:Oryza meridionalis cultivar OR44 (W2112) chromosome 6, whole genome shotgun sequence.